rnacentral:lncRNA from 1 species
UUUUUUUUUUUUUUUUUUUUUUUCUUUUUCCUGCAAGUUUUUGCUCUAAAGCAGAGGGUUAUUGUUUGGAUUCAGCCCUUAAAUCAUUGUAACAGGGAGAACUGGAGAAGUUAAAUCAAUCCACGGAUGAUAUCAACAGACGGGAGACUGAACUUGAGGUACAGAAAGCUGGGUGCUUGUUUUUGGGGAAGUGGCGUUGUCUCUCUGACACCAGGCUGGUUCAUUUUGUUUUAAGAGGUGGUUGCUGGCAUUCACUUUCGCAGUUGAGCAACAGCCUGCGUCUGACAGAAUAAAUACACCACUGAGUCCAGCUUGUGGGUGGAACACAUGUGGAUCCAAUUUCAUAUAUAUUUUUUUAAUCAUGGAACCUCCAUGGGGCCAAAAGCAAGGGCUUUACACAGACUUAAGCCCUGAAGUUAAUGUGUCUGUGGAAAAGUUAAAAGGACUGAAGGGGAAAUUGGCUGUGUACUUCAAUGGACAGGAGUGAAUGAGGUCACACAAAUCUCUUAAGCAUUUUAAGGGAGCUCCUUACAUUGGUGCUUGGAAAUAGUGUGUGUUUCCUUAGGAAGAUUUAGAUCUUUAUUGACUUUCUGGGCUGAGAACCCUUCCCUCCCCCCACACCCCUACCCCGCUUCUACCCCUUUAUUUAUCGACUGCUUGUGCGUGGAAUAUAAUCAUCUCAAUGGUAAUGAAAGGCUGUUUUUAUUUAUUUAUUGUCUUUUUGCCAUUUCUUGGGCCGCUCCCGCGGCAUAUGGAGGUUCCCAGGCUAGGGGUCGAAUUGGAGCUGUAGCUGCCAGCCCACGCCAGAGCCACAGCAACGCAGGAUCCGAGCCGUGUCUGCAACCUACACCACAGCUCACGGCCACGCCAGACCCUUAACCCACUGAGCAAGGCCAGGGAUCAAACCCACAACCUCAUGGUUCCUAGUUCGAUUCGUUAACCUCUGAGCCACGAUGGGAACUCCAUGAAAAGCUGUUCAGACUGGGAAGGGCUUUCCUGCUCAGAAAAAUCUUGGGAGACAGGACCUCAAUUUGAAUUUCAUGAGUAUCUUCCAACCUGAGUGUAAAGAGAUGAACAUUCUUCACAGGUCCUAGUUUGUCCCCAUCGUUUUCAGCAGCAGUUGGUUUUACCAUCCAUCAGCCAACUUGAACAACCCCCACUUCUGUCUGAGAACUGCUGUGGGAGGACCUGUUUUUGUAGCAGGGAGAAUGCAGGGAAGGUCAGUGGAAAAGGCAGGACACCGCUGGUCCCUGUGAGUCAGGAGUGGGAGAUAGGAAUGCCAUCUCCUCCGCAACACAGGAGCAACCUUGAUUUCUGCCUGCAUGUCCAGGCUCUGGAGAUACAGAACCUAGAGUGGCCCUGGAGGGUUGAAGUGGGUUUUCUGAGCUGUGCACGAAGGGGUCUUGCCAGCCGCUCUGUUCUGACGAGAGGUAUCUGUGAACACUGGCUACUCUUCUUCCCCAAGUGAAGUCAAAUCUGCAGGUUUCAAUUUUUUUCAUGUGUGGUGAAUGAAGUCUCUUGGGAAAUUGAAAUCUCUCAGAAUCACAGUUUUUUUUUUUUUAAAGAAAAUUUGUAAUUUUAUUUACUUCAUUUUUUAUUUUUUAACUAAAAAUUUAAAAAAUUUGUUGAAGUAUAGUUGAUAUAUAGUGUUGUUAAUUUCUGCUCUACAGCAAAGUGAUUCGGUUGUACCUAUAUAAAAAAUUAGUUUUCAUAUUCUUUUUCACUUUGGUUUACUACAGGAUACUGAUUUUUAGUUCCCUGUACUCUACAAUAGGACCUUGUUGUCUGUCCAUUCUAUACAUAAUAGUUUGCAUCUGCUAAUCCCAAA